UGCUGGCAUCUUUGGUAUGGGAGGAAUCUUUGUUUGUAUGCAAUUUUGGGAGUCGGUCUGUCAGUUGGGAGGCAGGUCUGAAAACAGGAAACAACAACCC